rnacentral:tRNA from 1 species
GCCGCCGUGCCCGAGCGGCCAAAGGGGUCGGGCUGCAGACCCGAUGGUCGGGGGUUCGAAUCCCCCCGGCGGCU